AUUUAUAUAGUUUAAUUAAGACAUUACAUUUUCAUUGUAAAAAUAAAAUUUUAUAUUUUUAUAAAUU
rnacentral:tRNA from 1 species